rnacentral:misc_RNA from 1 species
ACACCUCAACUCUUGUGGUUUGCCAUAAAGAGCUUGGACUUGGGGGCUUGCUGGCAUACAGCCGGCUCCUCUCAAAUGAAUUAGCCUGCCAGUGUUUGGUGGCGUCACGGGUGUGAUAACUAUCUACGCUUGUGGUUGCCUGCCAGGUAACCUUUGGUGACAGAGGUUCGCUGGAGCUCAUAAACGUCUCUCCUCAGUGGAGACAGCUCUUUGGAC